ACCCGCGGCCUGUCAGCCGGAGGACAAAGGGACUGUCAACGCAACACACGCCUGGGGGGCACACGCCUUGACCCGGACGCUGUGAGCGAAGCCUUGUGUAUACAGAAGGUGCUCCAUAAACACUCGGGGAGGAGAGCCUCCUACACGUCCUGCGAUGCCUCACUCAGCACACGGCCCCCGGGGCACCCAGCACCCUUUCUCUCUCCCGGGUGGUCCCCUCUCACCACCUUGUGGCCGCAGCCACGGCCGCCUGCCCCCGGAAGGGGCCGAGCUGCCAGGACAGGUGUCAGUCUUCGCCAGGGGGGGCCCACCUGCCAGCCAGGUAGACAGCCACCUGCCUCCGGGCCAGCUGCUUUAGCCGGUGCCUGAGUUUGGGGGGGAGCGCCCCCAAAGAAGGUAGCCACGUACCUUUGAGGUCGGCAAGUCAAACUGCGCUCCCCUCCGGCUGGG